UACGUAGGGUGCGAGCGUUGUCCGGAAUUAUUGGGCGUAAAGGGCUCGUAGGCGGUUUGUCGCGUCGGGAGUGAAAACACCGGGCUUAACUCGGUGCUUGCUUUCGAUACGGGCAGACUAGAGGUAUGCAGGGGAGAACAGAAUUCCAGGUGUAGCGGUGAAAUGCGUAGAUAUCUGGAGGAACACCGGUGGCGAAGGCGGCAUCCUGGACCGGUAUUGACGCUGAGGCGCGAAAGCCAGGGGAGCAAACGGG
rnacentral:rRNA from 1 species